rnacentral:rRNA from 1 species
AGGGAAUCUUCCGCAAUGGGCGAAAGCCUGACGGAGCAACGCCGCGUGAGUGAAGAAGGUCUUCGGAUCGUAAAACUCUGUUAUUAGGGAAGAACAAAUGUGUAAGUAACUAUGCACGUCUUGACGGUACCUAAUCAGAAAGCCACGGCUAACUACGUGCCAGCAGCCGCGGUAAUACGUAGGUGGCAAGCGUUAUCCGGAAUUAUUGGGCGUAAAGCGCGCGUAGGCGGUUUUUUUAAGUCUGAUGUGAAAGCCCACGGCUCAACCGUGGAGGGUCAUUGGAAACUGGAAAACUUGAGUGCAGAAGAGGAAAGUGGAAUUCCAUGUGUAGCGGUGAAAUGCGCAGAGAUAUGGAGGAACACCAGUGGCGAAGGCGACUUUCUGGUCUGUAACUGACGCUGAUGUGCGAAAGCGUGGGGAUCAAACAGGAUUAGAUACCCUGGUAGUCCACGCCGUAAACGAUGAGUGCUAAGUGUUAGGGGGGUUCCGCCCCUUAGUGCUGCAGCUAACGCAUUAAGCACUCCGCCUGGGGAUUACGACCGCAAGGUUG